AACGAACGCUGGCGGCAUGCCUAACACAUGCAAGUCGAACGAUUGCCUUCGGGUGAUAGUGGCGCACGGGUGCGUAACGCGGGGGAAUCUGCCCUUAGGUUCGGAAUAACAGCUGGAAACGGCUGCUAAUACCGGAGGAUAUCGUGAGAGCAAAGAUUUAUCGCCUGAGGAUGAGCCCGCGUUGGAUUAGGUAGUUGGUAGGGUAAAGGCCUACCAAGCCGACGAUCCAUAGCUGGUCUGAGAGGAUGAUCAGACACACUGGGACUGAGACACGGCCCAGACUCCUACGGGAGGCAGCAGUGGGGAAUAUUGGACCAUGGGCGCAAGCCUGAUCCAGCAAUGCCGCGUGAGUGAUGAAGGCCCUAGGGUUGUAAAGCUCUUUUACCCGGGAAGAUAAUGACUGUACCGGGAGAAUAAGCCCCGGCUAACUCCGUG
rnacentral:rRNA from 1 species